CUUUUGUACCUUCUCUCCAACAAGAGAGGGGAGAAGAGGGAAUGACCGGGGUAUAAUCACACUCCUUUGUAAGCAAGAAUGCACAAAGCUGAACGAGAGAGGAUUUAUCCAGUGUUCGACAACAACUGGUUUUCCAGAGAUGAAUGAAGGACCAGGCAGAGUGCAGACCACGUAAACGAGGAGAUGUUGCCACAGCAGGAGUUUUACUAUUGAUGGUGGGAUUUGAACCGUGCCUUUGGAUAAUCAAUGCUGAACUCUGGCUGGUAAUCGAAUAACUUUAACCACUACUCUGUCAGGUGGUCCUUUGAUCCAUAUCAGCCUGGGAGAACCCUCACCAUGGGUGUCCUCAAUAGGACUGUCCCCUUGGUCACACCUCUGGAUGGAUUAGCUGGUCAGUUCAACAUCAUUGACCAUUAUCACGGGACUGGUGUUUGGACAUAUUCGCUAUCGCUCGCUUGGACAGCGAUGUAACUCUAAAGGUGCCUGUGACUGAACGAGGGGUGUUGCUCUUCUGUUGGUCUCACAAAACUGUGUUGCGGGAUCUUUAGUUUUGAGAUACAGCAUGGAAACAGGCCCUUCAGCCCACCCUGUCUACGCUGACCAGUGCCUAUCUUGGGGCGGCACAGUGGUGCAGCGGUAGAGUUGCUGCCUCGCAGCGCCUGAUAUCUGGGUUCAAUCCUGACUACGGGUGCUGUCUGUACAGAGUUUGCAUGCUCUCCCCGUGACUGUGUGGGUUUUCUCCAGGUGCUCCAGUUUCCUUCAAACACUCCAGGUUUGUCGGUUAAUUGGAUUCUGUACAUUUUAAAUUGUUCCCAAUGUGUAGGAUAGUGUUAGUGUACGGGGUGAUCGCUGGUUGGAGUCAGUGGGCCGAAGGGCCAGUUACCGUGCUGUACCUCUAAAAUCUAAACUCCACGUCAACCAUCGACUGACUACCUGUACACUAGCUCUAUGUUAUCCCACUUGUGCUUCCCACACACAAGGGACUAUCGUCAGAUUGCUUGUCCCAUUCCUUCUUCUUCCCAUUUCUAUCAGGCAGAAGACACAGAUGUUUGAAAGUGCGCACCACCAGACUCAGGAACAGCUUCUUCCCCUCUGUAAUCAGGCUUAGGAUACUGUCCGAUUCACCUCUACCCCAUUGUGGACAUUGGACUUUGUCUCUGGAACUGAUGCGCCACAAUGCUGAGAACUACGCUCGAGUCAACACACAGCAGCCAAUUAAACUCUUGACCAGUGCGUCUUUGGAAUGUGGGAUGGAACCGGAACAAAUCCUGGAAUGGCAUGUACUCUCCUUUGUCCUUUCAUACUUUUUAUAUAUAUUGAGCAUAAAACAGUCCAGAACAGGAACAGGCCCUUCAGUCUACAAUGCACGUGAUCCAUAGCCCUCCAUUCCCAGCAUAACCCACAUGCUUAUCUAAUAGUCUUUUAAUCACCACUAUCGUAUCUGCCUCCACCACCACCCCUGGCAACGUGCUCCGUGCACCCACCAUGCUCUGUGUAAAAAACCUUCCAGCACAUCUCCUUUAAACUUAGCCCCUCUUAGCAAUGGAACUGGUGCGCUGUAGUGCUGAGAACGAUAUUCUGCACUCCUCAAUGGUUCAAUGGUACUUUAUGAUCACAGAGACAGUGACGGUUAAAUUAUUUUUUGCAAACAGUUCAGUAAAAAAAUGACUACUCAUAAGCACUAUCGUAGAUUAAGUUCAAGUGUUUGGGAAUAGUACUCAGACAGUAUACGAGAAUCGCCAGGUUUUGGCAACAUUCUUAAGUUUAGUUUAGACUAUACCUGGGUUCAGUGAAAAGCAUUUGCUGCAUGCUACCCAGCCAGUGGAAAGACAAUGCAUGAUUACAAUUGAGCCAUUCACAGUGUACAGAUACAUGUUAAAGGGAAUGAGAUGAAUAACAUUUAGUGCAAGAUAAAGCUGAUCAAAGAUAGUCUGAGGGUUUAAAUUGUAAUAAGUGUGGAGUUCUUAACUUGACCGUAAAGGCUUUGGCAGCUUUGCAGGGUCGACCUGGCCAAGCGAAGCUCUACCUAUUAUAUUUGAGUUUGGCGAUUGUAUUUAUGUUCGGUAUAUCGGAUGUGUUUGGAUGGCGUGCAAAACAAAGCCUUUCACUGCACCUCGGUACACGUGACAAUAAUAUAAAGCUGAGCCUCACCAGCAUUGGGGAGACAGGGAAGCUGUCUCCUGUCUAGCGUGGCAUGUGCGGCCCUACGGCACAUGACCUUAUCUGGCAGCCCAGGCGUCCUGCCAGAGUCGGGGAGAAUUCAUCAGCCUUAUCUGUUGCACCCAGGCUUGGCAUGUAAGCGUGAUCGUCACGUGUCGGUUGCAUGUGAUGUUGACGGAACACGAGUGGGCGGAUUGCCACACUCACUACAUUCCCCGGGCAAUGACUGAUUGUGUUUGUCUGCUGGCAAUGCAUUGUCUGGGGCUUAUUGAUCAAAGGCAGGUCCAUUACUGGCCACCAAUCUAUGUUUGAUCACGUAUUAGCUAUUCAUUAUUGAUGGGAUAUUGAACACAGCAGUCGGAGGUUGUGGGGGAGACCAGGUAGAGACAUGUGAAAUUAUGAGAUGCAUAGAUAAGGCAGACAAUCAGAACCUUUUUCCCAGGGUGGAAAUGUCCCAGGCUAGAGGGCGCAGCUUUAAGGUGAGAGGGGCAAAGUUUAAAGGAGAUGUGCAGGGCAAUUUCUUUACACAGUGGGUGGUGGGUGCCUGGAACGUGCUGCCUGGGGCGGUGGUGGCAGAUACAAUAACUAAUGUAUUUUUUAAUGUAUUUUAAUGACCACACAGCCAGGCUGGUGGAAUUUGGGUUGUCAGCAGCGAUACAAUAAUAAAGAACACACAACCACAAUAAAAAAUGUAACACAAACAUCCACCACAGCAUUCAUCACCGUGGUGGAAGGCACAAAAAUUUGGCCAUUCCUCCUCCAUUUCCCCCCCGUGGACAGGACCAGAGUCCAGUCAGUCCAGGAUUGGCUCUUCCUCACCGGAGACCGCGGCUUUAAGUUGUUGUAGGCCGCAGGCCGGCGGUCGAGAUUU